UACGUAGGUCCCGAGCGUUGUCCGGAUUUAUUGGGCGUAAAGCGAGCGCAGGUGGUUUAUUAAGUCUGGUGUAAAAGGCAGUGGCUCAACCAUUGUAUGCAUUGGAAACUGGUAGACUUGAGUGCAGGAGAGGAGAGUAGAAUUCCAUGUGUAGCGGUGAAAUGCGUAGAUAUAUGGAGGAACACCGGUGGCGAAAGCGGCUCUCUGGCCUGUAACUGACACUGAGGCUCGAAAGCGUGGGGAACAAACAGG
rnacentral:rRNA from 1 species